ACCGUCAACGACGCGGGAGUGGCGCUAGGCACGGCUCCUGGCUCCGAAGGAGAGGGCGGCACCCUCCGCAACGCCCUACAGAGACUACGGCAGCGAUGUCGGAAGUUGGCAGCAAGGCUCGGCUGCAGGUCGACUGAUGUGGUCGAACAUGCUCAUGCCCACCAAGAGGGGGAUGAAGAAGGGGAGGUGGGUGACGAGGAGGGCGAGCAAGACAAAGAGGCGGAGGAAGGAGAUGAGGAGGAAGAAGGGGAUGAGGACAGAGAAGAGGAGGCGGAUGAGCUCGGUCCCUCGCAGCUAGAGGACGCACCAGAGUCGUCACAGCCGGAUAUCUCGCAGCCCGGCCCGUCUCGACCACGACGCCGGCGGGCUCCUUCGCAGGACUGGAGGUACACCCCCGACGUGCCUCGUCCUCGCACUAGAGGUAGGAGGAGGUGAGUGCAUGGUUCAAUGGAUGGAUGGAUAGAUGGAUGGACUUGAUGCAUGGUUCGAUGGAUGUAUGGACUGGAUGUAUGGACUCGACUGGAUGUAUAGACGAGGAUCGAUGGGAUGUUUUUAUUUCUUAUAUA